rnacentral:lncRNA from 12 species
GACAGUAGGGCUUCCACUGAGUAAACCUGACCACAGGCAGUGGACUGUGUAGGUACGAAUCUCCAGGACUAGGGAAGAGCCAACUAAAGAGGCCUCCUGUGUCAGCCAGCCUUCCUGGGACAGUCCUGGGAAAGCUUCCUGGACUUGUUGCCAGAAUGCCUGGAAUGUCAGAAAGAAUAUGUUUAUCUGUGACAUGUUGGGUUAUAUAUUAAGAAGUGGUUAGGACAGCUAAAGCUGUUCUCUCCCGAUCUCUACUCCAGGGCAUUUGCUUGGCUUUCUGAGUGAGCAGAGUUAAGAGCUCCAGAUGCUGCUCCUGGGGUGAACACAGUGACUUUAAUCUCCUGGGAGGCUCAGCUUCCAGUUCCUCUUCAUUAUGGUUAUGAACAGCUGAACUCAGGCUCUGAAGUGCUAUUUUCCCAGUGUUCUCAGGAACAUGAAGACUUUUCAGUGAUCAUGGACAGACGGAUGAAUUGUCGUGGAGCUGCAGGGAGCCAGAAACGACGUGUGCUCUGACUAGAAUCGAAGCAUUUCUUUUUGAACCAAUGGCAGGUCACUUCCGUAGUAAACACAUCGACUGAUGCUAUGUCCCAAAAGAAGUGGCAAAACAAAAUUACUUGACAACUUCAAGUUUUUCAUUUAAUGACUAUCUAUUGUAAACCAGAAAGAAACUUAAACAUUAUAUCCAUAUUAAUAAAGGCAUGUAUUGGAAAGCCA